GAGGGGCACUGGAGAAAGCUACAAGCCACGAGGGCAAGAGCGUGGAGGAUGAAGAGAGCUGAAGAGGAGAGGAAGAGCAAGAAGAGCGUUUGUCUGAGGCAGGGAGACAUUGUACUGUUGAAGUUGACCGCACCCCAAAGUAUACACCCACUGUUCUGAUUGGCUCUCUGCUCUUGACUGACCAGAUCUCUCCUUGUCAUCUUACUGAUCACCACUACUGGGUGGGGCUACGGAAGUAAUAAGAGAGAAAGCGCGUGCACUUGCAUGUAUGGGAGCACCCUCAAGCACCCCCAUAGAACCGGGCCUGGAGACUGUUAUCUGUAGUGGAUGUCUGGGAAUGAUGAAAUGCUAGCUUUUACAAUCUGUGAUAUUUCAAAUGCUUCUUUAUAGGUUAAACACCUGCCAGCAUGAAUGUGGUCCUUGUCUUCUCAAACUGAAUCAAAUCAAAUCACUUUACUGUCACUACACCAUAUACACGAGUGUAAGAGUGAGUGAACAUCUUGGGUGUGUGUGAUCCAGCAAUAUUGCAAUCAUAUAGUGACAUUAUGACACAAUAUUCUGUACAAGAUGUACAGAAUAUACAAUAUAGUCAGUAGGCACAGUAUAUACAGUGCAAUAUAAUACACAAUAUCCACAUUAUGCGCAUAAUAUACACACAAUUAUACACAAUGUUUACAUACAGAUUAGAGCAGUUGUCGAAUGCUUUGCAAUGUACAAAGUAUACACAAUACAGGCUAGGCAAGGCACACGUGGUCCUUGCUCUAGUAAUUGUUAAUCAUCUAAUAAUAUUUUCCAUGCACAAAAUACAAAAAUAAUGAACUGACUUCAGUUGAUAUUGGAAAUAAAUACUAUGCAUAAUCAUCAUUUGUCCACACUGAACUGCAUAGCAUCAGAUUGACAGUGCAGAAUGUCUUUCAUAAUGCUUAUUAUAAUUAAUAUAAUAUUUAUUUAUUAUAUCAUAUAUUAUUAUUCAUUACUUGUUCUUUGGAGUUAAGAAAAUUGUGUUGAGAUAGUGUGAGCUGACAGACAGCAUCUGUUGCUUCAGUUAAAUGUAAAUUGCAUUACUUAGAGCUAGCUGGCUGUGGAUGAAAAAUAUUUAUGUAAAAAAAAAAAAAAGGCUUUUGAUGACAAUUAAACACAUCCUCCCCCAAAUUCUCAUUAACGUAAUGUGAAAAAUGUAAUUAUAUUAUUAUAUGACAGGCUAUUAUUAAAAUUUUUUUUUAUUUUUUAUUUUUUAUUAAAUAAGUAUAAAUUACAUUUAGCACAAUAAACACUACAAAGGUACUUAACGAGUAAUGUAUAAUCUUAUUUUUGCCUCACAGUAAUGAGAAUUAGUUUUUUGUAGUAUGCUACACAGUAUUCUACAGAGAAUUAAUUAUUUUAAAAUGUGCUAUUAUUAUUUUAUAAAAAUGACAUUAUUUGAAUGUCAUAAAAAUAGUCACAAUGCAAUAAUAAUAAUAAUAAUAAUUUAUACUAAUCCUAAAUAUAGGUUCUAAAUAGGCUUCAUUGUCUUUAUGCAAAAUUUACAUUGUAAAAUGUUCCUUUUGAUUUUGGGAAACAUAACCAGACAUUUAGUUUUCAUGAUUUUCAGCUCAGUUUAUAUGAGAUGGCAAAAUUCUGUUCAAUAACAGCUUAAUGGUAGACAGAGUGUUGCACCCCUGAAAAGGGGGAAGAAGAUUAACAAUAGAAAAAUUCCAGCGAUGUCUCCCCACAGGAAUCUUUAUAAAAUAUAAUUAACAAUAAAGCACACUUACAAAACAACAUUUUAUUUUCUUAAGUGCAAUGUAUUUCAUCAUGUACAUAACUUUUUAAUGCAUCCAUAAAUAUAUAUUUAUCAAAGACAUGUUCCUCUUACUUGUAAAUAAUCAACUCCAUUUUUACCCCUUUAAAAUUUUCCUUCAUUAAUUAUUUAUCUUUUUAAACCUUAAACUUUAGAUGGAUAUAUUUAUACUUUAAAAUGUGUAUAUACCUGUAUUUCACAUAUAUAUCUUCUGUAUUUCUCUCAUAUGUCUUAAUAUCUUAACAUUUCAACAGCAUAUAACAAUUAACAUGAAAGAAAACACAUUUGCAAAUUAAACACAAAUAUAUGCGGACAGAUGUCAGACAUUUUGCAUGCAGUCUGCACGUGAGCCUUGUGCCUUUUAUGCUCAAAAUGGAGCCCUGAACUCACAGUUUACCAAUACUCUCAAUUAGGCUUUCAAUUACAUCGACUAACAAAAACAUUACAGUAAUCUCUGUAAACAGUAAAAUAUUAUAUAUUUGAUUAUUUUUACACUCUAUUAACCAAAAAUGUACUGUCAUACCUGAAAAGGGGGAGAAGAUUAAUAAUAGAAAAACUCCAGCGAUGUUUCUCCACUG